rnacentral:tRNA from 1 species
GGCGAGGUAGCUCAGUGGCAGAGCAGGGGACUCAUAAGCCCUUGGUCGUGAGUUCAAAUCUCACUCUCGCCACCA